CGGUAUUUUGACCGUGCUAAGGUAGCAUAAUCAAUUGUUUUUUAAUUGAAAACUAGUAUGAACGGUUUAAUUUACUUAAUUAGUUUGUAAUUUUUAAUAGUAAGUUAAAUAUAAAGUAAGAAUUCUUUAAUAAAUUAGGGGACGAUAAGACCCUAAAAGCUUUAUGAUCGGCAUUUAAUUGGUGAUAGCGGUGUUAUUAAUUCACUGGGGCAGUGAGUUUAGGUAUAUUUAAGUAUAAUUAAAAGCUCCUUUAAAUAAAGAUUUCAUGUAUAAGUUACUUUAGGGAUAACAGUGCAAUAUAUU
rnacentral:rRNA from 1 species